UGUCGAGCAGCGUAUGGCAAACUUUCAUCAAGGAAGAUACGUCCCGUGAAUGGACACCGAAGCUGCGAUGGCGUGCGAAAAAAUGCCCGCAACAACCUCCGGGGACCGAUCUCUGUGGAUUCUUCGUUUGCGAGUACAUCCGCAGAAUUGUCAGCGAGAGAACGAAUAAUGAAAGAAAUAAAGAGUUGGCAAGAAAGCGGAACAAGCUCUCAAUCGAUGACCGCUUCAUAGCAAUAGGCGAGA